rnacentral:rRNA from 1 species
UACAGGGGGGGCAAGCGUUGUUCGGAAUUACUGGGCGUAAAGGGCUCGUAGGUGGCCAACUAAGUCAGACGUGAAAUCCCUCAGCUUAACUGGGGAACUGCGUCUGAUACUGGAUGGCUUGAGUUUGGGAGAGGGAUGCGGAAUUCCCGGUGUAGCGGUGAAAUGCGUAGAUAUCGGGAAGAACACCAGUGGCGAAGGCGGCUACCUGGACUAACACUGACACUGAGAUACGAAAGCGUGGGGAGCAAACAGG